UAUAUUUCGUUUAUUAGUUUAUACAGUAUAUUUAAAUUACAUACAGCUGGACUAGUAUUAAUACAUGAAAUAUUGUCCAAAUACUGAUGUUGAUGAUGGAGGCCCGACAGUCUCUGGUAACAACAAUGAUCCAAUUACCAACGGCUUCCCGACAAA